rnacentral:rRNA from 1 species
ACGCUGGCGGCGUGCCUAAUACAUGCAAGUCGAGCGAAGUUUUUCUGGUGCUUGCACUAGAAAAACUUAGCGGCGAACGGGUGAGUAACACGUAAAGAACCUGCCUCAUAGACGGGGACAACUAUUGGAAACGAUAGCUAAUACCGGAUAACAGCAUAAAUCGCAUGAUAUAUGUUUAAAAGUUGGUUUCGGCUAACACUAUGAGAUGGCUUUGCGGUGCAUUAGCUAGUUGGUGGGGUAAAGGCCUACCAAGGCGACGAUGCAUAGCCGACCUGAGAGGGUGAUCGGCCACACUGGGACUGAGACACGGCCCAGACUCCUACGGGAGGCAGCAGUAGGGAAUCUUCCGCAAUGGGCGAAAGCCUGACGGAGCAACGCCGCGUGAGUGAAGAAGGAUUUCGGUUCGUAAAGCUCUGUUGUUAGGGAAGAAUGAUUGUAUAGUAACUAUAUACAGUAGAGACGGUACCUAACCAGAAAGCCACGGCUAACUACGUGCCAGCAGCCGCGGUAAUACGUAGGUGGCAAGCGUUGUCCGGAAUUAUUGGGCGUAAAGCGCGCGCAGGUGGUUUAAUAAGUCUGAUGUGAAAGCCCACGGCUCAACCGUGGAGGGUCAUUGGAAACUGUUAAACUUGAGUGCAGGAGAGAAAAGUGGAAUUCCUAGUGUAGCGGUGAAAUGCGUAGAGAUUAGGAGGAACACCAGUGGCGAAGGCGGCUUUUUGGCCUGUAACUGACACUGAGGCGCGAAAGCGUGGGGAGCAAACAGGAUUAGAUACCCUGGUAGUCCACGCCGUAAACGAUGAGUGCUAAGUGUUGGUCUCAUAAGAGAUCAGUGCUGCAGCUAACGCAUUAAGCACUCCGCCUGGGGAGUACGACCGCAAGGUUGAAACUCAAAGGAAUUGACGGGGACCCG